CUCAAACGUUCAUCUCACCGAAUGCUUCCUUUUGAACCGAUCGCAUUUUCGAUUGGACCGGGUUUGGUUGAGUUCUCAUUUGGUGAGACAGGAGAGUUCCUGUGAGCUUGGUAAUUCGACUUUGAGAUGUGGUUGAGGAAAUACCUCUAGAGCAAGAGCUGGAGGAGAAUGAUGCUGCUGCACAGUCUGCGUAUGAUUUAUAUAUCUAAACUCUUAGAUGUUAAAUACUCAAAACUGUCUGAGUUUAAAACUUUAUAUUAUAUUUUGGAUGACUGUAAUUUCGUACUUAAUUGCAAGUCAUACUCUAACUCUUCUCUUUAUUUGGAUGUAGUUAUUAUAUAUUUGGGAUGUCACAG
rnacentral:sRNA from 1 species